rnacentral:lncRNA from 1 species
GCCCCAGCUCUGCUAUGGAGCAGGCCCAUAAGAAGUUCAUACAGCAAAGAACUGAUAUUGCUAGCCAAUAGUCACCAAGCACCUGAGCCAGCCCAUACCCAUGGGAGGGAACGUGGGAGCAGACAGCCCCAGUCAAGCCUUGAGGUCACUCCGGGCAGCAUCUUGAAUCAGCCUCGUGGGAAUCUCUGAACCAAAGGCAUCCAGCUAGGCUAUGCCUGGGCUCCUGGCUCCCAGAAAUUGCAAGAAGGACCUGAAAUACACUUAAUUGGUGAGUCACCUCUAAAGGAACUACUGGAUAACACUGCCACAGUACUGUGGAUCCUCCCCAAGACAAAUAACAGAUACAAGAGAAGACGCAUAUGCAUAUUUGAAAUGGAGUGCUGAGCUGGCACGGAAGGCAGGAAUCCAUGCAAUGAUGUGAAAAUAGUGAGAGCCCUCGAAGAUUCUCUCGGACCUUAAACUUACAAAAUGACCUCCUUUUAACCAAAAGAAUGUCAAAUUUUAAAAACAAAAGUGUCCCCAACAUCUUAGAACCCACCUAUAUGAAGAAUCCUAAAAAACUCAUAUUUCAAUAGGGUCACGGUGAAUUGAUGUCUAAGGUAGUUAACCUAGAAGUAGGCCAGGUGUAUCAUUUGAGAUGACAAUCAAGAGAUCAGUAAAGAUUAGACGUUCAUAAACAUGCAUUUGGAAAUAGGUAAGGCAACUAUUAAUGGAACAGAGAUAGGAUGUUAUCUUUAAAACAAGUAGAAGGAUAACAGGAGAAUCAGAUUUUAAAGCACUGUAUCCAAAAUAAGAAAGAAAAGAUAAAACACAAACAAGAAAUGAGGCAAAUAUAGAUUGCAUAGUAAGAUUGGUGGUAUAAAUCCUUAUUAUAUUGAAUGUAAUGGAAAAUUAAACUCUUCCUAAGAUAUGAGGACCAUCGAUAUAAGUAAAAAUGAAAAGGCAAUCCAAUUAUAUGAUGUGUAAGAGAGAUAAGUAUAAAACCUAAAGCCAGAGAAUAAUUGAAAUCAAUGCAUGAAAUAAAUACACUGGGGAAACAAUAACAUGGAAAAAUUCUAAACUUGAAUACUGCUAAUAUCAUCCUUAAAUAUAUAUAAAGCAAGAAUAGCAAGAGAAAUUGACAAACUUAACUUAUUAAUGAAAGAUUUUAACCCAGCAAAGAGUUAUCACAC